CUAUACAUGCAUAAUAUCUCAUUCUUUUCUCUCACGCCUCCCUCAGCCUCACUCUCGUCUCACGUUGUCACGCAGCCUCCAAACUUCCAAAGCCCUAGCCGCCGCUUCUUCAUUUUCCCUUCGCCGCUCCCGCUCAGCCGUGCUUAGCGUCCACCGGAGCUCCGAUCACCAGAUCAAUUCCGAGUUCCGGCUUCCCACCGAAUCAAGCUCUCUCUCUCUCUCUCUCUCUCUCUGUCUCAGCCAUACACGUAAGCCUUUCCCUCACCUUCUUAUUCCCACCAAAUUCACGCCGCUCCCCUAACUCGAGAAACAAUCCCUCUUCUUCUCUUUCCCAAAUCUUAUCCUUCCUUCACUAUGGAUGAAUUCAUGCCAAAUAGCAGAAGAAGAAAAUACUACUCCAUUGAUGAAUUCAUGCCAAAUAUUAGAAGAAGAGUAUACUCUGGAAGCACCAAGACUUCCUUGGCCGAUGCUUCUAAGACUCCGACCACACUACCGGUACAGGAGCCCUCUCCGUCACCAACCGAAAUUCUAUAUAAUCUCCCACCCAAAUUUUCUUACGACAUCUUUUUCAGUGCGGAACUUCUCUGCUCCACCGACGAUGAAGAUAGUGACGAUGAAGAUUGUGACGAUGAAGAUAGUGACGGGGAAUUUGACGAUUCGAACUGGUAUAAGAUCCAUAUUCAUGCCGAUGGUCCUGCCGAGUUAUACCCAGAACCGGUCCUUGCAUGUUGGGCAGGAAAACUUCCCAACGACGUUGGCUUUGCAGCCCUAGGCUCCCAUAUAUACAGAUUUGGUGGGGCGACUAAUAGUCUGUCGGGAAUGGGCAUUCGGGACGUGUAUAAAUUACAGGUUUUUCCAUGUGUCGCCAAUGAUUGGGUGCCUGUUUCUCCUAUGUUAUCUCCGAGAAUUUGCCCUUAUGUUUCGGUUUUAGGGAAUAAGAUUUUUGUUUGCAAUUAUUUUAAUUAUUAUGAUGAGGAUGAACUUUCUGAUUCUGACGAACUUUCUGAUUCUGAUAGUUUUCCUUGGGGUGAGGUUUUUGAUCCCGUAAAUGAAAAAUGGGAAGCCAUCCCUAAUCCUCCGUUUCUUCCAUUUUGGAGAUAUGGAGUCAUAGCUCUCGAGAAUCCAGACAGGAUUCUGGUCUAUCUCCUUGAUAGAGGUAGCGAUGAUCAUAGCGAUGAUGAUAGCAAUAGCAAUAGCGAUAGCGAUGAUGAUAGCAAUAGCAAAAGCAAUAGCGAUAGCAGUUGUGAUAGGCUCUAUUUGUAUAACAUGCAGCAUGGAGGAUCUUGGACGCAUCUGACUCGGAGUUUCGGUCCCUCCCCUUUUAUCUGGGAAGCAAGCGUAAUUGUAGGUAAUACUAUAUACUGGGUCGGACUCGAUCUCAAAGAUGAGAUUCAAUUGUUUGCCUACAAUAUUGACUUGGAUAUGUGUCUAGAUGCACCUCUUAAAGUUGUGGGAAUGGAUCUGUGUCUAGAAGGAUGUCUUAAAGAUUUGGUGGCAAUAAAUGAUGUUGUUGCCUUCAUCCAUAUGGAGAAUCAAAGGUUCUGCUUCUUAAAACGGGAAGUACUUGAUCAUUAUCUUUACUGUGUUAUAGCUGAUGUUUCUCAGAUCCCCGAGAGGAAGACUUUAAAUAUAUCGGUGGUGUGGAAAAAAAAAUAUGCCAUGGAAUCCGCUAAAUUGUCAAAUUUGCUUGUACUUGCUAAUGGGUGUUAAACUUGCGGGCGCAAUGGAGCAGAUUAUGGAGCAGAUUAUGGGCAGAUUGUGGCUUAAUAUGUUAGGAGCCAUAGAGAUGUUGAAGCAAUUCAGAGUGUGGCCAUACAAGGAAGGAUUGUUGCUGCUCUUUUAUUUGUUUACUUAAAUUGUAUGCUGUUCAUUGGUGACAGAAUCUGUUCACCCCUCUUUGGUGUAAUUACUUAUUUAAGAAGAAUAGACAAUGAUCUGUUCACCCC